AUACCUUUAUCGACCUUUUGGCUAAGAUCAAGUGUAGUAUUAGUUCUUACCAAUUUAAUAUAUGAUAUGUGGGCCCUUGGCUUACUCGAUAUUAAUCUUGUUUUUUAUGUGGAAAUAUCUGUUGUAAUAGCUUGCUAUUGGGGUGUUUGAGUGUUGGCUUGGCGUUGCACUAUUGCCUUGGCAUGGCGCACCCCUC